rnacentral:rRNA from 1 species
GUUGAACGCUGGCGGCGUGCCUAAUACAUGCAAGUCGAGCGAACGGACGAGACGUGCGCUUUUCUGCUGUUACCGACGGAUGGGUGAGUCAUACGAAGCUAACUUACAUAUAAGACUGGGGUAACUUCGGGAAACCGAAGCUAGCAUCGGAUAAUAUUUUGAACGGCAUGGUUCAUAAGUGCUAGCCGGACCUGAUGACCCUUAGUGAUGGUACCGCGCUGGAUUAGCUAGUUGGUACGGUAACGGCUUACCAAGGCAACGAUGCAUAGCCGACCUGAGAGGGUGAUCGGCCACACUGGAACUGAGACACGGUCCAGACUCCUACGGGAGGCAGCAGUGGGGAAUCUUCGACAAUGGGCGAAAGCCUGACGGAGCCACGCCGCGUGUGUGAUGAAGGUCUUCGGAUCGUAAAACUCUGUUAGUUGGGAAGAACAGAAGUGUGAUAAUCUGUGGACAUCUUGACGUUACCAAAACAGAAAGCCACGGCUAACUACGUG